CACGUCAGCGCGCUUUGCUGACGUGGCCAGACUUGCCAUCCUCGAGGGGGCGAUUUGUUGCCGCGUCAGCAAAGCGCGCUGACGUGG
rfam:Gossypium raimondii chromosome 3, whole genome shotgun sequence.